rnacentral:rRNA from 1 species
GAUGAACGCUGGCGGCGUGCCUAAUACAUGCAAGUCGAGCGAACAGACGAGGAGCUUGCUCCUCUGACGUUAGCGGCGGACGGGUGAGUAACACGUGGAUAACCUACCUAUAAGACUGGGAUAACUUCGGGAAACCGGAGCUAAUACCGGAUAAUAUAUUGAACCGCAUGGUUCAAUAGUGAAAGACGGUUUUGCUGUCACUUAUAGAUGGAUCCGCGCCGCAUUAGCUAGUUGGUAAGGUAACGGCUUACCAAGGCGACGAUGCGUAGGCGACCUGAGAGGAGGAUCGGCCACACUGGAACUGAGACACGGUCCAGACUCCUACGGGAGGCAGCAGUAGGGAAUCUUCCGCAAUGGGCGAAAGCCUGACGGAGCAACGCCGCGUGAGUGAUGAAGGUCUUCGGAUCGUAAAACUCUGUUAUUAGGGAAGAACAAAUGUGUAAGUAACUAUGCACGUCUUGACGGUACCUAAUCAGAAGGCCACGGCUAACUACGUG